UUUUUUAGCCACACCACUUUUUCCAUAGUGAUUGGAAAGAAAAAGGACUCGAGUUGGAACUGGCCAAAAAGGCAAGGAUGGUGUUAAAUCUAUAGCUGUCAAAUGGUCCGUCCAGGGACCAUUGGGCGUGUCCGUAUGGACAGUUUUUUUUAUGGGCCAAGUUGGACGGUCCAUAAUGGACAAUGGGCCGAAAAAUGUUCAUGCCCAAUAAAGACCAUGUCCAUAUGGGCAAGCCCAUGUAUAGCCCAUUUUAUUAUUGAUAAAUCAAAAAUCAUGAUUUUAAAGAAUUGUGUUUUUGCAUUUUGCAUUUUUCCGACAAAACGGUAAAAUUGUGUUUUUCUUACCAAUACAAUAAAAUCACGAUUUUGCCGGAAAAAUUAUGAAAUUGUUUUUUUCCGCCAAAACGGUAGAAUCGUAAUAUUGUUUUUUCCCGCCAAAACGGAGAAUUGUGUUUUCUCACCAAAACUGUAAAAUUGUGUUUUUCGCCAAUAUAAUAAAAUCACGAUUUUGGCAGAAAAAUUACGUUUUCCCGCCAAAACCGUAAAAUCGGAGAAUUGCGUUUUUCCGUCGAAACUGUAAAAUUGUGUUCUCGCCAAUAUAAUAAAAUCGCGUUUUAGAGGAAAUUUGCGGAAUUACGUUUUUCCGUCAAAAUCGUAAAAUCGGAGAAUUGUAUUUUUCCCUCAAUUCAUGCCCAUGGGCAGCCCAUUGUCCAUAUGGUCAAGCCCAUAUUAUCCGCGGACAAAACUGGUCAUAUGCCCAAUUGGACCAUUUGUUUUAUAGUCCAGAAUAUAGCCUGUCCAUAUGCAUUUGGACUGGGCAAGCCCAUGGGCCGCCUGUCCAAUUGACAGCUCUAGUUAAAUCACACAAUUGUGACCGUUCGUUCCUUUUUAUUACCUCUCCACGUAUGUGAGCAUUUUUCUGGUUAUUGUUGUCUUGUGCAAUGUGUAUUUAUCAGCUUUGUAGAU
rnacentral:sRNA from 1 species